rnacentral:rRNA from 1 species
GAUGAACGCUGGCGGCGUGCCUAAUACAUGCAAGUCGAGCGAACGGACGAGAAGCUUGCUUCUCUGAUGUUAGCGGCGGACGGGUGAGUAACACGUGGAUAACCUACCUAUAAGACUGGGAUAACUUCGGGAAACCGGAGCUAAUACCGGAUAAUAUUUUGAACCGCAUGGUUCAAAAGUAAAAGACGGUCUUGCUGUCACUUAUAGAUGGAUCCGCGCUGCAUUAGCUAGUUGGUAAGGUAACGGCUUACCAAGGCAACGAUGCAUAGCCGACCUGAGAGGGUGAUCGGCCACACUGGAACUGAGACACGGUCCAGACUCCUACGGGAGGCAGCAGUAGGGAAUCUUCCGCAACGGGCGAAAGCCUGACGGAGCAACGCCGCGUGAGUGAUGAAGGUCUUCGGAUCGUAAAACUCUGUUAUUAGGGAAGAACAUAUGUGUAAGUAACUGUGCACAUCUUGACGGUACCUAAUCAGAAAGCCACGGCUAACUACGUG